rnacentral:rRNA from 1 species
UACGUAGGGGGCAAGCGUUGUCCGGAUUUAUUGGGCGUAAAGAGCGUGUAGGCGGUUAGAUAGGUCCGUUGUGAAAAACUCGAGGCUCAACCUCGAGACGCCGAUGGAAACCAUCUGACUAGAGUCCGGAAGAGGAGAGUGGAAUUCCUGGUGUAGCGGUGAAAUGCGCAGAUAUCAGGAAGAACACCCGUGGCUAAGGCGGCUCUCUAGUACGGUACUGACGCUGAGACGCGAAAGCGUGGGGAGCGAACAGG